UACGUAGGGGGCAAGCGUUGUCCGGAUUUAUUGGGCGUAAAGAGCGUGUAGGCGGCCUGGUAGGUCAGCUGUGAAAACUCGAGGCUCAACCUCGAGACGCCGGUUGAAACCAUCAGGCUAGAGUCCGGAAGAGGAGAGUGGAAUUCCCGGUGUAGCGGUGAAAUGCGCAGAUAUCGGGAAGAACACCCGUGGCUAAGGCGGCUCUCUAGUACGGUACUGACGCUGAGACGCGAAAGCGUGGGGAGCGAACAGG
rnacentral:rRNA from 1 species